UACAGAGGUCUCAAGCGUUGUUCGGAUUCAUUGGGCGUAAAGGGUGCGUAGGCGGCGCGGUAAGUCGGAUGUGAAAUCUCGGAGCUUAACUCCGAAACUGCAUUCGAUACUGCCGUGCUUGAGGACUGGAGAGGAGACUGGAAUUUACGGUGUAGCGGUGAAAUGCGUAGAUAUCGUAAGGAAGACCAGUGGCGAAGGCGGGGCUCUGGACAGUUCCUGACGCUGAGGCACGAAGGCCAGGGGAGCAAACGGG
rnacentral:rRNA from 1 species